CCUACGGGAGGCAGCAGUGAGGAAUAUUGGUCAAUGGGCGCGAGCCUGAACCAGCCAAGUCGCGUGAGGGAUGAAGGAUCUAUGGUUCGUAAACCUCUUUUAUAAGGGAAUAAAGUGCGGGACGCGUCCCGCUUCGCAUGUACCUUAUGAAUAAGGAUCGGCUAACUCCGUGCCAGCAGCCGCGGUAAUACGGAGGAUCCGAGCGUUAUCCGGAUUUAUUGGGUUUAAAGGGUGCGUAGGUGGCCUUUUAAGUCAGCGGUGAAAGUCUGUGGCUCAACCAUAGAAUUGCCGUUGAAACUGGCGUGCUUGAGUGGGCGAGAAGGAAGCGGAAUGCGUGGUGUAGCGGUGAAAUGCAUAGAUAUCACGCAGAACUCCGAUUGCGAAGGCAGCAUACCGGCGCCCAACUGACGCUGAAGCACGAAAGCGUGGGUAUCGAACAGGAUUAGAUACCCGUGUAGUC
rnacentral:rRNA from 1 species